AUAUAAGUCUUAUACUAUCAUCACGAAUCACAACAUACAAAAACAAGAUUUGUCCUUUAAAUUAGAAGAUGGUGAUGUAGAACUGCCCCACUUGGGUCUAAAAACUUGAUAACCACAGGGCAUCCACUAUUCCGUUCCAUGCCGUCCCUUGUCGAACAGCCGUGCACGCAUUCAGCCAGGGUAUGCACGAAUGAAUGCAUCGAGGAAUCAGAGGGCUUCUAGUAGUAGUAUACUACUGUACGCUGUGAUGAGGCAGCAGCUAAGCUGUCAAUUUGUCACGGAAUUUGCAGCUCGAUGGGCGCUGGCCCGUGACACAAGCGAACAAGGGGCGCCAGAUGACCAGGCCGAGCAGCGGCGACCCACCGUACCCCCGGGCGAACACCGAUGGAUCCAGCAAAUCAAGCGGCAAGCAACGCGACCCGUCGCCACCCGGCCGGUGCAGGCCAAACUACGCGCGGGCGCGGCGUCCUGCAUGCGGCAGGGUCACCCGUGGAUGAGGCUGACACGAGGAAGUGACGAGGAUUCUCCGUACUUUUGCGUGGUUGCACGGGCGAUGCGCGCGACGGGGGAUGGCUGCUUGCUCGGUUGCGAUGCGCGGAUACCGCAACGGCGCACGUGGGGCUGUGGCUUCGUCCGCCGCAGUUUCUGCAGCCUUCCACCCGGUUCGGGCUGCGCACCUAGCGGGUGGUUUCGCCUCGGACUCAGGUCGGCAGGCCGCAGGUGCGCGGAGCCGCGGAGCGUCAGGUGAGGCAAACGAGGAAACGGCGGGAUUUGUCCGUGAUUUCUCCGUGGAAUCUGCGUGGUUGCGCUGCACGGGCGGCCGGGCGUGCGCUCGACUGGGGGACGUGGUUGUUCGCUUGGUUGCGCAGGUAUCCAGAACACGUACUACGUGGCGUCCUCCGACGUCCGCCGAGAGUCCGAGACCGCAGUUUCUUCAGCCUUCCUCCCCAGUUUCGAGGCCUGAGGCCUCGUAGCUCGUCAGCGCGGUGACACGUCGUGCUUGUCGGGUCGGGACUCGGUCAGCGAGCUGCACAUGGCAAAAGGCAUGAACUCCGGGCACGGGGUAGUAGUCCUAUAUACGUGCGAUACAUCUUUGUAUCGAGCUGUCAGGUGUGUGUGUGUGUAUACGUUCUGCUCCGUCUACUAGCAUUGAAAUAUACUCCUAUCAACUGUCAAAUAAAAUGUUACGCCUUCUCUGGCUCGUUGCACAGAA